rnacentral:tRNA from 1 species
AAUAAAAUGGCUGAGUUUAAGCAUUAAACUGUAAAUUUAAUCACAGGAUGUGUCCUUUUUGUUA